rnacentral:piRNA from 1 species
UAAACUCACUUAGAACAUAAU